rnacentral:lncRNA from 1 species
AGCUCAUUAUCACAUGGGUUAAUGAGCUGAUGAGUUGAAUCAGAUGUGUUUAAUUAGGGAGACAAAGAAAACGUGCAGUGUUGGGGGUACUCCAGGACAGGUUUGGGAACCACUGCGUUAAUGUAUCUGGAGCUGUCUGUGGUAUCUAUGUUUCUCUCUAGUUGACGUCAUCAUUGGGAGAAGUCCCUCCCAUUUGUGAUGCUGCCUUAUUAGAAUAAACACAGCCCUGAGUGAGAAGCAGCAGUCCGCCAUUACUGUUUUCUUGUUGUAGAUGCUUGUCAGUGUCAAAGAGCAAAGAGGCAUUAGAAGUGUUGUGUUUUAGGAUGCACCAAUGAACAUAGGAGUCUCCAUGGACCAGGGAUCCUCAAAUCCGGCCCACGAGAUCCACUUUCCUGCCGAGUUUAGCUCUAACCCUAAUUUAAACACACCUGAGCAUGCCAAUCAAUGUCUUCAGGUUCAUUAGAAAACUACAGGUAGGUGAGUUUGAUCAGGGUUGGAGAUAAACUCCGCAGCGCACUGGCCCUCCUGGACAAGAUUUGAGGAACCCUGCCAUAGACUCUCUCCAUCUGAACUGCUGAGGGCAUUGUGGUUAAGUUUAAUUUUCAAAGGACAGAUUUUACGCCAGACUGUCUAACAACUGAGGGUAAUUUCUAGGCUGGAUUUUUGCAAAAUGGAUUCCUAAACAGGGAUUGAUACCAAUGCUCUGUGCACAGACUUCAGCUCCAGACAAAUCAGAGGUAAUAACACAACAUGAGGCUGACAAACUGUCUAACUGCACACUGGUGCUUGAUAAGCUGUCAGAGCACAAAGCAAAGUGAAACCAUCUAUGACAAUGAGAGGCAGUGAUUCACCCGGCAUCAUCUAUGAGCCACUCUGCUUACCUCCAAAGACUAGCAACUAAAAUGAUCGGCCACAUGGAGCAUUUUAAAGAGACUUCGUUGUACUCUGAGAUCUCAACAAGUGACAGGAAAAAAAGAUGCCACAUUAAACUGAAGAGGAUGCAGGAAAAUAAACAAACUCAUGCCACGUGCAAGAUAAAAAAAAAAGAGGAGACCGUCAACGAAAGACGUGUGAAGAGGGUUGAGAUGAAUAGAGGUAAGGAUUUGUGAAUUCGAGAUUAGUUUGGCCUGACAUCGAACAACUAGGCCGCAGGCGGCCAAUUACACUCCACACUGCUGGAAAGGCAAUGUUUCACAGAGCCAUACAUUAUUUAGUAGCCCUAAUACUCAUUGCACCUUUUUGUGUGAGUCACAGCACUGCAUUUCUUUCUUACUUUUACUGCAGCUGAGUCACUCAGGAAUGAUUUCAUUUUACAAUAUAGCAUAUAUGCUAUAAAGUUCUCAAAAUUGUUGUCGUUGAUUAGUUUAAUAUCGUGCUGUGUUUCGUAAUUUAUGAUACUCGGAUAUUAAACCGUUGAUUCGCAGUGAAUAAACCGAGUGCGCCAUCUAUUGGUUGCCGUGGGAACUUGGUUGUGUUUGAGUGUUCAUUUGAG